rnacentral:rRNA from 1 species
CCUACGGGCGGCAGCAGUGGGGAAUAUUGCACAAUGGGGGAAACCCUGAUGCAGCAACGCCGCGUGAGUGAAGAAGUCCUUCGGUAUGUAAAGCUCUAUCAGCAGGGAAGAAGAUGACGGUACCUGAAUAAGUAGCCCCGGACAACUACGUGCCAGCAGCCGCGGUAAUACGUAGGGGGCAAGCGUUAUCCGGAUUUACUGGGUGUAAAGGGAGCGCAGACGGGAUUGCAAGUCUGGAGGGAAAGCCCGGGGGCCAACCCCGGAACUGCUCUGGAAACUGUGCGGCUAGAGUACUGGAGAGGCAGGCGGAAUUCCUGGUGUAGCGGUGAAAUGCGUAGAUAUUAGGAGGAACACCGGUGGCGAAGGCGGCCUACUGGACAGUAACUGACGUUGAGGCUCGAAAGCGUGGGGAGCAAACAGGAUUAGAUACCCGGGUAGUC